rnacentral:lncRNA from 1 species
UGAUUGAUAGAAGGCUAAGGUGGGAGACCGACUCAACUUAUAGUAUAAAGUUAGAGUUAGAAGGUCUUGGCAUGGGGUAAGAGGGCAUAGAGGCAAGUUCUUUUGAAGAAUAUACCAAAGUGCUUCCAUUUCAGUUGCUACAAAAGAAGAGGUGUACAAUGGAGAUUGUGUUGGGAGCAAAGCCCAACAAAUCCAAACAAUGGCAU